UAGAAAGUGGUGUAGUGGAAGCACUAGGAGUUUUGAUCUCCUGAGGAUGGGUUUGAGCCCCCUUUUUCUAA
rnacentral:tRNA from 1 species